rnacentral:rRNA from 1 species
AGAGUUUGAUCAUGGCUCAGGACGAACGCCGGCGGCGUGCCUAAUACAUGCAAGUCGAACGCACUGACGGAGAACUUGUUCCCUUGACGUGAGUGGCGCACGGGUGAGUAACACGUGGGAAACCUACCCUUCAGCGGGGGAUAACCAUCGGAAACGAUGACUAAUACCGCAUAGACGACAGAACCGCCUGGUUCAAUCGGGAAAGACGGCUUCGGCUGUCACUGAAGGAUGGUCCCGCGCUGCAUUAGCUAGUUGGUAAGGUAACGGCUUACCAAGGCGAUGAUGCAUAGCCGACCUGAGAGGGUGAUCGGCCACAUUAGGACUGAGACACGGCCCAAACUCCUACGGGAGGCAGCAGUAGGGAAUCUUCCGCAAUGGACGCAAGUCUGACGGAGCGACGCCGCGUGUGUGAAGAAGGUUUUCGGAUCGUAAAGCACUGUUAUUAGAGAAGAACAGCCGAUAGAGUAACUGUUAUCGGUUUGACGGUAUCUAACCAGAAAGUGACGGCUAACUACGUGCCAGCAGCCGCGGUAAUACGUAGGUCACAAGCGUUGUCCGGAUUUAUUGGGCGUAAAGGGAGCGCAGGCGGUUUGUUAAGUCUGAUGUGAAAGCCCACGGCUCAACCGUGGAACGGCAUUGGAAACUGGCAAACUUGAGUAUAGAAGAGGAAAGUGGAAUUCCAUGUGUAGCGGUGAAAUGCGUAGAUAUAUGGAGGAACACCAGUGGCGAAGGCGACUUUCUGGUCUAUAACUGACGCUGAGGCUCGAAAGCGUGGGGA